rnacentral:tRNA from 1 species
GACCUUGUGGCCUAACGGAUAAGGUGUCUGACUUCGGAUCAGAAGAUUGCAGGUUCGAGUCCUGCCAGGGUCA